GACGAACGCUGGCGGCGUGCUUAACACAUGCAAGUCGAACGGAAAGGCCCUGCUUUUGUGGGGUGCUCGAGUGGCGAACGGGUGAGUAACACGUGAGUAACCUGCCCUUGACUUUGGGAUAACUUCAGGAAACUGGGGCUAAUACCGGCUAGGAGCUCCUGCUGCAUGGUGGGGGUUGGAAAGUUUCGGCGGUUGGGGAUGGACGCGCGGCUUAUCAGCUUGUUGGUGGGGUGGUGGCUUACCAAGGCUUUGAUGGGUAGCCGGCCUGGGAGGGUGACCGGCCACAUUGGGACUGAGAUGCGGCCCAGACUCCUACGGGAGGCAGCAGUGGGGAAUAUUGCACAAUGGGCGGAGGCCUGAUGCAGCAACGCCGCGUGCGGGAUGACGGCCUUCGGGUUGUAGACCGCUGUCACCUGUGACGAAGCGUGAGUGACGGUAAUGGGUAAAGAAGCACCGGCUAACUACGUG
rnacentral:rRNA from 1 species